rnacentral:lncRNA from 1 species
UGUGCAGGUUCUGUGUCUAAUAUGGCCCAACGCCUAUUUGCUCGAACCCGCCAAGUUGAAUCAUUGGCGGCCGAAGUGAUGAGUCUCAAACAGGAGAUUAGAGGGCUCAAGCAUGAGAAUAAACAGUUGCACCGGCUCGCACAUGACUAUGCUACAAACAUGAAGAGGAAGCUUGACCAGAUGAAGGAAACUGAUGGUCAGGUUUUACUUGAUCAUCAGAGAUUUGUGGGUUUGUUCCAAAGGCAUUUAUUGCCUUCGUCUUCUGGGGCUGUACCGCGUAAUGAAGCUCCAAAUGAUCAACCUCUGAUGCCUCAUCCUUCUAGGGUUCUGUCCAGUACUGAGGCUCCGAAUGAUCCCCCUCCGAUGCCUUCUCUUUCUGGGGCUCUACCGACUGCUGAGACUUCUCCUAAGCAACCUUUGUGAAGGCUCCAUCUUGUUUGUUUAUUUUGACUCAUGUAUAUGUACAUAUUUGUAGCUUAUCGGGGAUAUCAAUAAAUAAGUUUUCCUUCAUUUCAACGUAUUGUGUUAAAUACACCAAAGCCUUCUUCGCUAAGUUCUUUGAAAUUCAUUAAUUGACUAAUUAACAUAAUUUGAAAGAAAUAAUUUGGGAGUUAUGGAAUAAUUAUCUAAUCAAUUAGCUAAUUAAUAGAAUAAUUACCUAAUUGAUUAGCUAAUCAAAUAUAAUAAAAUAGGGAAGAUUUGGGGAGUUACCUUGUGGAAAGGAUUGGAUGAGGAUGGAUGAUAUAGAUUUUGAAUUGUUUACCUAUUUUUUGGGCAUUUUUGACUUGGUUGAGUGAUGAUUGCAUGCUGCUUGCACGUAGGAAUCUCGGUAUGCCUCGAGGAUAAUUUUGUCUUUUUAUCCAAAAAUCCACGGUCGCCUUGUGAUUAUUUUUGGCUCCACAAAUGCCCUCACACCUAUUGGGCUACUCGUAGAAAAGGGCAGCAGGUGUAGAGAUCUUCUUGCUUGAGGAAACAUAAGAUUGUUUCCUAUUUUGAUGUUGAUUCCCUCUUUAAUAGGAAAUUAGAUCCUUCUAGGAAAGGGAAAUAAAUUUCUCUCAAAACCUAUUUAAGCCCACCUUAAGUGGGUUAUUAAAUCAACUUUGGAGAGCAAUUUAUUCUACCCUACAAGAGAGAGAUAGCUUAGAGGAUAUUUGUUCCCCCUCCUCUAGCAAUCUUCUACUUGCCCGUGCCAAUGGCAGCUUGCGCGGCUGGGGCCGCAGACUUAGGUGAUGGGGCCUAGUGCUAGUCAAGUCACAUGAUUCUUGUCAUUUGGGCUCUUGGUUCUGACGCGGGCUAGGCUGGCGAUUGAGAGAAAUGAAAAGGUCGCGGGCCUCAUGGGCUACUAGAAUGUUGGGCAUGCCUCUUGCCUGCUGGUCCGAGAGAAAAAAAAGAAGGGAAAAGCCGAUAUGGGUUGAGCUCCCCUGCUAAGUACCAUGAAUGAUGUUGGCUGCUUAGUUCUCUUCGCUGGGAGAAAUGUGGGCUGCUUUCGAGACAGAAGGUAAAAAGGAUCGAGGCGGAUGCAUUGGCUCGUCUGAACGCUGUCGUGGAGCCUAUUAUGAAUGAAGGUGGAAAAAAGAGAUCUUCCCGGCCUGCUUAAGAGAUGUUGGUUGAGAAAACUGAAGACUUCCUCCGCUGCUUGUGAGGGUCCGCUUAUUGGGAAGGAGGACACUGCUCGCGUAGACAGUUGUGAGAAAUCCACUAAGCCUGUUUCUGGGGAGGCUGCUGAGAUCUGUGUGCUCUUGAAACCAGAUGAUGCUUGUGCCAAGUUUGUUGAUGGCGUUUAGAAAGGUUUGUUUGCCCAAGUUCCUUUGCGAAGCAUACGACCCAAUGUAGAAUGACUUCUCUGCUUCCUAUGAUGCAAAUAUAGCAAGGUUGCUAAGGAGGUAGCGAGGAAUAUGGCAGCUGAAGCUUAUUCCUCUGCCGAUGAGAUUAAAAGGUUGGAUUCUGAGCUCGUUGCUUUGAAGGGGUCUAAUAUUUCUGCCCCUAUUUCUCUGCAGCUUGAGACCAUUCGCUAAGAUAUUGUUAUCUUGAAGACUAAGCUUGACGCGAUCCAAGUUAAGUAUGAAAGUGCAAAGAAGGAGAUUGUAUGUUACAUACCUCAUAUUCAAGAUUUUGAGUUUGCAGUUUUUGAGCUUCGUGUUGUUUAUGCAAAGGAUGAAGAGUUGAUUGCUUCUUAUAAUCAAGUGAUCCAUUUCAAGAGAAUUGUCGAUAGGCUUGAAGCCCAAGUGUUAGAACUUCAAGGUGUACUAAAGAUCAAUGAAAGUCUGAAGAAGGAAGUGAAUGAGUUGCAGCGCGUUCGUGUUGGUUUGCUCGAGGAGGAUGAACAGCUGAAGGGUGAGAAUGAUGGGCUUGAGGUUUCGAGACCUUCUCUAUUUCUUUGGAAGACUUGCUUGUUUUUACUUUUGAGGCUUCCAUUGGUGAAGUAGUUGGAGAAGUUGAUGCCUAGGUUGGGGCAGACGGGGGUGAAGCGCUGGAUGAUGCCACUGCUAAGAGCAUCGCAGUUGCUAAAGGUGUGGCGACCGAAUAGUGGUGGGAUGUCCAAGCUGCUGAAGUAUAGUCUUCUAGGUAGCCUUUAGGAUUUUCUUUGUUUUUCCUUGUAGCUCUUGUUUUGCUUGAACUUCUUCGGCCUUUGCUAGUUGUUUAUAAACAUGCUUCAUUUACUUUUCUUCAUCUUCACUUCUUUUGUUCAUGCCCUAACCUUUAGACUUUAUAGACUAGUGGUAGGCGUGCUAUUUUUCUAUAAGCAGACAGUCUCACGUAGCUUAUGCAGUCGUAGGUGUUGGUGUAGAACUUUGUAAAGUUAUUAGCCAUAGGGUUGGCAACCGGAUGCCUUACUUACAGAAGUAGACAAGUCCGCGUAACCACUUUAGGGUUUAACCUUGGCUUUCUCCAAUUCCGUAGGUUGCGUAGCAAGUAUCACAACACUUUAGGACUUGGUGUAAGUUGUUCUGCACUUGGCAGAGGUGAAACUUAUCAACUACGUAGCAUGUCGGCAGUGGAUAAAGCUUCAUAUAUGCAUGCUAGCUUGUUUAACCUUUCACAAGAAUGUGCGGUUGUAUAAGUCUAGUGUGGUUUUACUGCUCAAAGGGCAAGCCGUAGGCAGUUUUCUGGAAACCAUAAGCUACUUUAAUGCACUCGGUAGCAGCUUUAGGGUUCCAGGGCAGCCGUCUGUAGGGCGUACUGCUUAAUGUGCUCCCUCCGUCUUUAGGGCCCGGCUCACAGUGGAUUAGGCCAAGAGACCCAAAAUCCUUUAGUUAGCUAAACCUUGAAAAAGAACAUUGGGGCUACUUCUAAGGAUCCCAGCACAAGCCAUCGUGCAUCUAGUUAUACUAGGGCAACCAUGCUCAUACACGUCUAGAUAUUUGGAGUGUAGAAUUUAUCCUCUCGUCUUGGAGAGCUGACCCAUGUGGGUGUCAGGAAAUUGAUUUACCCUCUCGCACUGGAGAGCAAUUAGUUUACCCUCUCGCACUGGAGAGCAUGGUUGGUCCCUUGGGGGCGCAAUGUUUGUGAUGAGUCCCUAAGAAGGCCGCGGUCUUUUUUUGAAGUGCAUGAGUGAUCAGUUGUUGUAAGUAUGCAUCUGAGCCAAGUUGUGAUUACUUCUGAAUUCCUCAUUGAAAAAUGAGUGAAAUGAACGAGAAUUUAGCUAUAAGGUAGGAACUGGAUAACAACUAGAUAGUCCUCGGCUUGUGAGGUGGUGCCCAUCGAGCUGCUUAAGUCUUCGGGCUUUGAUGUAGCGGGAGGUCACACAUGGUACUUCCUCAGAUUGUAGGUGCUCAUCUGUUUUUCUAUCUUUUUAUUGUUUCAUUGUGGUGAGGGUGUAAUUACUUUUGCUGCCUACUUUGUUGAUCUUGUAUGGACCUUCCCAGAUAGGAUCCAUCUUUUUGGAGCCUUCUCUACGGGCAGUGAUAAAGGCUUUUCUUAGGACUAAAUCUUCGAGCUAAAGCUACGGGAUCUUUGCCCUAUUGUUGUAGCUGGAAAGGAGCUAGGCUGCGAUGCAGGUGAUGGUUUGCUCGCGCUUUUCCUCUGCCAGAUCUAAGCUUGUAGCCAUCUCCUUACUAUUAUUCUCAAUGCUUGGUAGUAGAGCGGUGAUACUUGGCUUGAUGACAUUAGGACGAAUGAUUGCUUCUGAGCCAAAUGCCAAAGAGAAAUGAGUCUCACCGGUUGCUCAUCUUUUGGUGGUGCGAUAUGCCCAUAAACAUUCGGGGAGUUCGUCUGGCCAUUUUCCCUUCUUAUUGGUGAGGGAUUUCUUGAGGCAAUCGAGGAUCCUCUUGUUGGAUGCUUCGGCCCGCCUACUGCCUUGAGGAUAUCUUGGCAUGGACAUGUGCUACUUGAUGCCAUACUUUUGUAAGAACUUCGCCACAUCUUAGCCCACGAAUUGCGGGCCGUUGUUAGUGACGAUGGUCUGAGGGAUGCCAAAUCGGCAAAUAAUGUUCCUCCAUAUGAAGUGCUCAAUGUCUGUCUGAGUCGUGGUCGUCUUGGGCUCUGCUUAUACCCAUUUGGUGAAGUAAUCGGUUACCAUGAUCAUCAUGCCUCUGCCCCCAGUAGCAGGCGGCAUAGGUUUUACCAAGUUGAUUGCUUACUACAUGAAUGGCUAAGGAUUCGUCUACAGGUAUAGCUCGUUGGCAAACAGUGAUGGUACAGGCUUGUAGCGUUGGCAACGGUUGCACUUAUGUACUAACGUCUUAGCAUCUCGGUGCAUGGUAGGCCAGUAGUAGCCUGCGUUAAAAGCCUUAUGUGCUAAGGAUCAACCUCUGGAGUGAUUUCCACAAACGCCUUCUUGGAUUGAGCUUAGAACCUUCAAGUCAUAGGGAGGCGCUAGGCAGCGGAGAUGUGGUAUGGUAUAAGAUUUUCAGAUGAGAAUGUCAUUCCACAUGUAGUAGUGUGCUGCCUUGAUUUGGAGCUUCCUAGACUCUAAUCUUUUCGUGGGGAAUAUGCCAUUGACUAGGUAGUCUACAAUGGAAUCUUGUCCGUUUGGAGUUGUACUAACCUGUGACACCUCGGUUGCUGGCUUCGCUUUUAUGCUUGGCUCACCUAGAUACUCCACCGGAAUAGAGCGUUUGAGUAGUUAGUGGUCGAGGGUGGAGCCUAGGCCGGCUAGUGCGUCCACGUGAGCGUUGUCUGCAUGUGGAACUUGAGUGAUGGUGUAAGUUUGAAAUGCCUCAAGCAGUCUGGCUAGUGAUUAGCUGGGAAUCAGAAUGAAUUGUGAGCUUUUUCACCGCCAAGUCUUUUGCCAUUCGGAGGCCUGCUAGUAAGGUCUCGUAUUCUGCUUCGUUGUUGGAUGCUUUGAAGCCUAGAGUGAUCGCCUGCUCAGGCAUCGAACCGUUUGGGUGACAAGGACUACGCCUGCUCUCGAACCUUUGUAGUUGGAUGCGCUGUGGACAUGCAAAUGCUAGAAGUCUCCAUUGGGUGGAGCAGAUGCGGCUAGGGUGUGCUCGACUACCUCCAGGGCGUUGUUGGGCCUCUCUGUUGUGUCAUUAAUGCGUGGUAGGGAGCUAUGAAGCUGGGGCCAUGUUACACACAGUAGGAGAUGCUCAACUGCUGGUAUUGGGCCACUCUAGAAUUGAAUUAUGAAGUAAGGGUCGACUGAGGCCGUGUGACAUGUAGCAGGAAAUAGUGCUCAACUGCCGGUACAUAUUGCUCCUAUGUAGAAUCUUUUGGGGUGACAAUGACAAAACUUACUUCCGAGUAUGUCCUUCUAGUGUUCGUCUACCCUUAACAUGUCUUUUAGGCCGAGUUGUUGCGUUUGCCAGAAAACUUUGCAUCUGCCAGGGUCUACGCUUUUAUCAUCGUGUGUCUGGAUUGGGCAGAAUAGUACGCCAUGAGAAUGAGUGCAUGCGUUUGAAGGUAAAACUUAAGCUUCCAGGUUGUAACAACUAUCGCAAAAGUUAACUUUUGAAUUUCUGAUAGCAUCGAGUAGAGCUUUUGAACUGUGGAACACAGGUAGUCGGGCCCCCAACUCUUCUCGCAUGAUGGUAGAGCUUAUUGCUGCUUUAGAUACCGUUAAACAUGCAAAUAAGUCAUCCGCUGCUUUUAGUUUGGAUAGUAGGGAGGUGAUGUCGGGUACUUCUUCAAGUCAUUGAAUGUGCAUUGGCGAGCCUCGUCCCAAAGUGCAUGCUUCUCUGCCAGAGCGAAAGAGUCUGCCAGAGUUAUAGUUUCUUUCAUGAUUAAUUUUUCGAAUAACGGGUGGUCUGCUGGAAGUCUUUUUUGAAAGGAUGCUCUAGCUAUUGAGUCGUUGCAUCCGACUAUCCUUGCCUUCUCUGUUUUGAAACUCUUCAUAUAGUAGCGAAGCGACUCAUUUGGGUUUUUCUUGAUGUUGAACAAAUGGUCGAACUUCUUUUUUAUCAAGCGAUAAGAUGAAUAUUCUUUCGUGAAAACUAAAGAAUGUUCAUCGAAACUCCGGAUGGAUUGUGACGGCAGGGGUGUAGAACCAAUCUUGCGCCUCGCCUUGUAGAGUGGUGGUGAAUAUCUUGCUCAUGAGAUCGUCGUUGUUUUGAUAGAGGAUCAUUACUCUUCGGUAGUGCUUUAAGUGUCUUUACGGGUCUUCAUCCCCUUUGAAAGAUGUGAAAUAUGGCAUGCUGAACUCGCGUGAAGGCUCUACCUGCUCGAUCUCGUCUGUGAAGGGUGACCUGUUUAUGUUGGCCAUGUUCAUUCGUAGUGCCUCGUCGGUGACUUUGUUACGUUGGAAAUUAUGCAAUCGUUUGGUUAAGAGUAUUUAUACUUCUUCAUGAAUUUACCUUUGUUGGGGUAGCGGAGCUCUUGGCUGCCUCCAGUCGUGACUUGCUAGUCUAAGUUGCUAUUCCAUGUGUUUUACUCGUCUAUGCUGCAGAUGCGGUGCUUGUGGUGUGUUCCUAGCAGGCGAGCGAGUUCUUAGCAAGCUGCUGGUUGAACUUGGGCUGGAUUGAGCGAUUACUUCUCUCCGUCCGUCGUGUUACCUACUUCGAUGUGAGGUGGAUGAUGCUCCUUGCGAGCUUAGCCACGAAUGAACAUUUCACCUCGAAGGUUGCUCAUGUUGACUAUCAGAGUGUGACUCUAUCAGUGAAUGUAUGCUCGUCUGUGGGCCUUGUCAAGAGUGCACGCUCAUCCAGAAGCUAAGACGGGAGUAUAUGCUAUCUCGUGGGCCUAAUCGGGAGUGUACACUGCCUAAACGCUUAGUUCGUGGCUGGUCGAGUGGCUGCUUGUCGGGACACUGCUGGAGAGAUUCUUUGUCUGCCCUUGUCCUACUUCCGGCCACCUCGUCUGGGGCACGUUGCAUCUCGAUGCGCUGCAAGAGCUAGUUCACCAAGGUCGUCCGCUGUGCGAGGGCACUCGUCAACUCUAUGACUUGUCGAGACAAGUGUUAUUCUCCAUUUGGGUUGGAAUAACUUGGAAGGAAUGCGUCUCCUUGAGCAGUGGAAGUGUGGUAGACUCUGGGAGCGAGAUUUGAGUUGGGAAAUGUCAAAUCUGUAGAAAAAAUAUGGUGAAAAUGCUCCUAGUAUGAUCGUUGGUUCGAAAAUUUAGAGCCGGUACCGUUGAACUAAUCUUGGAUCGAUUUGGGCUGCUUGGAAGGCCACGGGAGCAGACUAGGCUGCGGGAGCAGGUUGGGCCACGAGAGUAGGCUGCUUGGCGGGAGCAGGCUGGGCCACAGAAGUGGGUUGCUCGGCAUGUGGCGCAUAUGGGUGCAAGGCUAGGGCUAGGCUUGGCAACGCGUUGGGCUUGGAGUGACAUGGCUUGGGCCAUGACUUUGGUGCCAUAGGCCUUGGAUGGCACGGCUCAGGCAGUGGUGGUGACACCAUAGACCUCGUCGCGGGUGGCCACUACGGUGGUUCCCGUGGUGGAAACUUGUGGUGGUGGUGCUGCUCCACUUAUUGUCACAUUUAGCCUGGAUCGGCAUGGUCCCAUCUCUUGAAUAUUUGAAUUUUCACUUGUUGAAUUUUCUUGGAUGCGAGAGUCUUCUACGAGUGUGGGACUUAUCUCUCAAUGAAAGCACCAAUUUAUGGAUGCAAAUUUCUUCCUCCUUGAUCUUGGACAAAAUUGCACGUACAAAACAAUUAACACCUUUGGUUAAGGCUGAUAGGAUCAUAUUUAUGCGACUUAGUUAGCUUGUUUCUUGGCAUUUAUGUUGUUAGUUCAUAGUUAUUUUAGUAUUUUAAGCUAUUUUCGUGUGUUUGUAGGUCCAAAGGGUUAAUGUGGCAAAGAAGUGCAUUUUAGAGCAUUUUGGAGCAUUUUUGGGCAUGGAAUGGAUAGCAUAUGCUUGAAGCAAAAGGAAUGGACAAAAUUUGAAGUUUGUGCAUCAUCCUCUCCUUAUAAAUAACCAUUUUAGCACACUCAUUUCACCCAACACAUUCACCUACCACUACAUCCAGUCAUUACAACCACCCAACACAUUCACCUACCAUUACAUCCACUCAUUUCACCCACCCAACACAUCCAUUCACCUACCACUACAUCCACUCAUUCCACCCAACACAUUCACCUACCACUAAGGUAUUAAAUAUCGGUAAUAUCGGUAGUCUGAAAACACGGAAAUAUCGAUGGAAAUAUCGGGAUAAUAUCGAUAUCGAUAAAAAUUACAUGGAAACCACGAAAAUUGUAAGAAAAACUUGGAAAUUUUUAUUGAAACUUUGCAGGAUGUUUAUUUAGUCAAUUAUCUAUUAGUUUAUCACAAAAAUUUGGAAGGAAAUGCAUUGCAUGAUGGAUUAACAUUAUCAAGUUGAUUAUAUAACGAGCUGACAAACAUUGUGAGUGUAGAAAAUAUGUAGUAAUUAAUGAAAGAAAUCUAAACACACCAUAAUCAUUUAUAUAUAAUGAAUUAGUGCAAUAUUUUACACUUUAUACAUUGCAUGGUAAGAUACAUGAGUGACUUAGUACCACAUAGAGUUCCUAUGAGGUUCAAAUUUUUCACUAUCUUUAUCAUCUCUAUGUGUAGAAUGAGUGUAUUGUGAAGAGUAGUUAUCAAAUGAUAAAUCUCCAAAAUAGUUUUGCAUGUAAUUGUUAACAUGCCACCCAUAUGGAUCCGAGAUUGGUUGACGUUGUCCAUAAGCAAAAUCAUUUGAAGAUUGAGUCUCGGAUUGUUUCCAUGAGUCGCUCGAUUCCAUUCCAACAGGAAUGGGAUAUGAAGGGUAGGGAAAUGGUUGGUUAUGAGUAUUACCAUAGUUACUAUUUCCCACUCCAACAUAGUCCGAAGUUCUAGAUAACGAGUCAUUUUCUUGACUUGACAAAAUCCCCUUGUCUCUUUCUUUACGAGUAUAGUCCUUCCCUAUGGCACCAAUUCCUGGUCCUGCCCGCCUACUGCCAUGGUCAUCAUCUUGUGUUGCAUGCGUGAAGUUUGCCUCACUAGUGAAGGGGCUCAUAAAUCCGAGAGGUGGUCCAACAUAGUUUCUAUAUCCACCACCACUACCUCCAGCUCCACUAUAUCCUUCAUCAUUCACACCUCCGGUGGUAGGUGAGUAUCCUGAUCUUGUACUAGAGCUAUCAUUAGUAUCAGCACGAUGUUGUGGUUGUGUAGGAUUGGAAGAAGAUGGAAUUCCAGUGUUUCUUGGUCUUGGGCGCAAAAGUUCUUCCAAAGAGUCAACGCUGCUAGAUCCUACCUCCUCCUCUAAUACUCUUUCUACAUUUAUCCCUUCAUUAUGUGCUUCUUCAGCAACUUUGGGAGCUGGGUUGCCUUCAUCAUCAUCUAAAUGAAGAGGUCUAAUCCAUUGAUAAAGUUGGUUACCCUCUGUAUCAUCAUCUUUACCAACAAUAUCAAACACAUCUAGUGGGUCACCACGGUCGACAUGAUCUAUUUCUGCUUCCUUAUCUCGAAUUUGAAGCUUCAUGUUGUAGUAGCAAUAAACUAAUUUUUCCAACCUACUAUGAGCCAACCUAUUUCUUUGCUUUGUGUGUAUGAGUGCAAAUGUGCUCCAAUUUCUUUCACUAGCAGAUGAGGAAGCUGUUUGUGAUAGUACUUUGAUUGCUAACUUUCUCACAGUUGGUGCAUCGGUCUCAUACAUGAUUUACCAUUCAGCUACAAUGAAAAGCAAUGUUGAUAAGCCUAAUAACUCCAACAAAUUCUAUUAUAAACUUAUAGUGAAAUAUGUUUACACUCACUAGGAGACAUUGUUGUUCGAGCAGCAAUUGAUGUUGGUUCUUCAAAAGUUCUUCUUGCAUCUUUAAACCAUGUUAGCUGAAUUCAAUAAAUCGUGUUAGUUUAAUCCAACAAAGUAAUUAUUAUAAUUUAAGUAAUUGUGUACCUCAUUUCCAAAUUGGCUAACUGCUGGUGAUGCAGGGUCUAAUUUAGAGUAUACAUUAUGUACAGCACGUAUAAGGGUACCAUCAUCUCCAACACCGGGUUUAUAUUGGUAUCGAGGAUUCAAAUAAUAUGCUGUUCAAAGAAACACAUACUCUAAUAAGAGAAAUAAUACUUAUGCAACUAAAGAAAUGAAUUGCAAAUUAUGACAUAAUUUAUACCUGCUGCAUGCAAAUCGUGGUAUAAUGUUUUAUACCAUCGGUCUUCAAUUAUCUUUAUGACCCACCUUGCACCAUGUUUUCUUUCCAAUUCAUCCUUCACUACACGCAUCAACUCAUAUACUGCCCCCAUAGUAGGAUACACUUCUGUGUCAAUGAUCCGUAAAACUUUGUAAAGAGGUUCAAACACUUGGCACACAUGUUCUGAUUGAGUCCAAAAAGCAUGAUCAAGCACUAUACUUUCCACCAUACGACCUGCAUUUGAGCGGCUCAAAUUGUGGUUGGCCCAAUCGUCACUAGUGAAUAGUUGCUUCAACCCUGCUUUCUUCUUAAGUAGGCUGUCUAAUGCAAUAUAGUUGGUGGCGAAUCGAGUGGUAGCUGGACAAAUAAUUUCUCCUUUGCAUAAUUCACGCAUCUUUGCCAACAACCAACUGUGAUUGUAAAUAUAAUUUGUGAUCGUUAUAGCUCUUUUUACCACAGUAGCAACAUUCUCUCUCUUCCCCAUUGCCUCAAACAUGAGAUCAAUACAAUGUACUGCACAUGAUGUCCAAAACACAUUAUGAUGCUUCAUUAACUUUUUUCCAGCUUUGACAAAUGCAGAACCGUUGUCGGUCAUGACUUGGACAACAUUAUGCUCUGCCACCUCCAUGAUUACAUCACUCAAUAAUUUGUAAAUAUACUUGUAGUUCUUUAUAUGGUCUGAAGCAUCAACAGACUUCAAAAAAAUUGUCUUUCCCUUGGAGUAUACCAUGAAGUUUAUGAUAGACAAUCUGGUCGGGCCAGUCCAUUUGUCACAUAUGAUUGUGCAACCAUUAGUUUCCCACUUUGACCUCAACUUGUUAACAUACUCGCCAAUGUCUUUAUACUCCAUAUCCAAAAAUUUGUUUCUUAUCUCAUAGGGAGUGGGAGGUUGUACUCCAACACCGGCCUGUUGACAUCCCACUACCAUAUUUUUGAAAUGCUGUGAUGAUGCUUUCUCAGCAGGGACAUUUUCAUAGAUAAAGAACUUGCUAAUUAGACGCCCCCUUCCCUCCUUCACAUUACCUCCAGUGAAAUAACUCCAAACACUCUUUUGACGUGCUUUGGAUGACUUAUAUAAACUUGGGGCUAUUGGUGGUGUUGGUUGUGAUUCUCUAAGACUGCUCCCCGUCUCAUUUGUGCACCACCACUUGUCCUGGAACCUUAUGCUCUAUUAGGAAUUUUAUGAAGGUGUUCUCUUUCCCAUGCUGACUAUUUGGAGGCACGUAAUGCUUGUUUCAAACUGCGUCGUUCUUCAGGUCCCAUGUCAUCAUCACAUUCGUCCUCAUCGUCAUCAUCGUCACUGUCAACCGCUUGGCCAAUGACUUCUCCUCGUAGCCUAGCUCGAAUAUUUUCCAUUCCAUGUGUUAUCUUUUCCUUCUGCUGUUUUUUAUUUUUUUAUCCAUUAUCGCAUCAUUGGACAUUUUUUGCUGGAUCUAAUCCACUAAGAUGGUACUUAAGUCGUGUCACUCCGCCACUCUUCAUUACUCGACCACAAUAUUUGCAAAUUGUGCCAUGUUUGUUUCCGUCUAUUGGGUCUCUAUGUUCCCAAGCUGGAUCACGUUUAGUAACUCCACUGGACAUCUUAAAUGUACCUAUAUUUAUUUUUCAUGAAAAUUAGACAAUUAUUUUUUGGCCAAAAAAUAUAGUAGUGAUGACGGUUAUAUAAGAGAACCUAAAUAAUAAUGAAUAAUAAUCCAAUUUAAUAAUAAUCCAAUUCAAUGAAUAAUCCAAAUUGAUAAUAAUCCAAUUUAAUGAAUAAUCCAAUUUAAUGAAUAAUAAUCCAAUUUGAUAAUAAAAAAACCUAAUAUUAAUGAAUAAUAAUCCAAUUUGAUAAUAAAACCUAAUAUUAAUAAAAUAAUAAAUAACAUUAAACAUAUUAAAAUUAUCCUAGGGAAUAAUUAUACAACAUUACUUAAUUACUUAAAAAAAUUAACAUGUAAUUGUUAACAUUACUUAAUUACUUACAAAAAUUAACAUGCAAGUAUUAAUUACUUAAAAAAAUUAACAUACGAGUCCACACAAAUUUAUUUGUUGUUGUAUAAAUUACAAUAAUAUAAAUAUAAGUUUGUAAACUUACCUUAAAUAUGGAACCCUUUGUGUUCAAGCUUUGGAAUGGAUCUGGAAUGGCUUUGAAAAUGGUAAGGGAAGAAGAAGAAACGAAAAUGCUCUGAAUGCCUCUGAUACUCCACCUCUAAUAAGGUGAAAGAAUAUAACAGACAAUGGCUCACUGUUUUGAAUGUGAAAGAAUAUCACGGACUCACAGUGGCACAUGGUUUCAUUAUGAAAGCACUAUUAUUUGUUGUCCAUGGUCUGAAAUUGCCAAAAGUUAUUGUAAAAUCAGUCAGGUGAGUCAGAUAAGAUAACCCAACCACACACACACAGAGACAUGCCACCACACACGCACAUUCACUUCACACGCAUACAGUCUCUCUUUCUCGAACCUUCUCUCUUCUGAGUCUUCUCUGAGCUCCCUUCUCCCCCUUUUCCAUUCUCCCGCACACACAGAUCUCCCACACACACGCACAGAGACCCAAGGUCUCUCGAUCAUUCUCCCACACACACGCACAGAGACCCACAUUGCCUUCUGCUUCUCCCUCGUCGGCGCCGUCUCUCUCAUUUCUCUCUGCACCGAAGGUCCGAGACCCACAUACAAACACGCACACCCAUCAUCAUCAUCAUCAGCAACCUCGUCUUUCUCCCUCUCCUUCUCGUCUCUGCACCAAGGGUCCGAUACCCACAUACACACACGCACACCCAUCAUCAUCAUCAGCAACCUCGUCUUUCUCCCUCCCCCUCUCCUUAUAUGUGAAAUUUAAGUUCAAAAUCGUGUUUUUGCAAGGUUUUUCGGACGAAAUCGGCUAGGGAAUAGGCACACCCAUCUUCGGCGAGGUCGUGGGUGUCGACGAAGUUUUCGAACACCUCCGACCGUUUCACGGCAAACGGAAUAUAUAAAAACGUUCAUCUCGUCUUCUAUUUCAUUUUCAUACCUAGAUCGAAGUCUAGGGUCUUGUUUUACAAUCGGCCGGAGCUGUAGAAGCUCCGGUGUUCUUCUCCGAGUGCCCAAUUCUAAAUCUAUCGCGAUAAUUUUGGAAAUAUUGCGAUAUUAUCACGAAAACCAUUUGGAUAGUUACAAAAAUAUCGGUACCCUUAAAAACCGAUAAUAUCGGUGAUAUAUCGCCGAUAUUAUCGGCAUUUUGUUCCUUGCUUACCACUACAUCCACUCAUUUCACCCAACACAUCCAUUCACCUACCACUACAUCCACUCAUUUCAACCACCCAACAACACUCACCCACUACACCCAUUACAUCCACUCAUUACAACUCCAUACACUCAUCUCCCUAGCCUAUAAAUACAUCCACCCUUCACCAUAACUAGAGACCCAUUCAAAAAGACCUUACAUUCAUCCAUAUAUUCCCACAUCCCACAAACACAUACAAUUCCAUUCCCUUGUCGUGGCACUCAUCCAACCAAAAAUAGAACACAAUCCACCUAUCCACCCUUCACCAUAACUCACCUAUAUCCAUCCACCACCAUAAUUUACCACUCAUCCAUCAAACCACACCUUGUGCCGUAACAAAGAGAAGAAGGAGAACCCUUGGACGUGCUUGCCAUUCAAGUUGGAUUGUUGGAGCAUUUUUAGGUGUUUUCAUUCUUUUGUUUUCAAUGUCUAAAUUUGUUUAUCUUUGCUUUGUGAGUAUGAAGAACUAAACCCCCCUUGGCUAGGGGGGAAUUCGAUACCUUGUUCAUGCUUGCAAUAUGAUUUGAUUACCUUCAGUUGUGAUUUCAUAAGUUGUUAAUUCAAUUUGUUUAAUUGCUUGAUUGAUAACUUAUUCGUGUAUGUUUAUUAAGAGUGGACACUUAGUUUGCAUGCAUGAAUAUGAUGCUAGAGUAUAAGGGAGUUUCACCUAAUAGUUACAAACUUAUAUUUACAAGCAGUGGAGGUCGCUUAUAAACGAUCGCAUUAAAUAAAUUCUUGGCAGGAGUUUCAUGCUCAUCAUAGUAAAGAAUGCCUCGUCAAUACUUAUAGUUUUCAUAAUGCUUAAUGAUCUUUGAUUGUAUCUUUAUUGUGCUGUUCAUGUAAAGAACUUUUGAAGAAUGCUUGAAUUGUUGUAUGCGCUUUCCCAUCCAAUUCAAUAACUUAAGGAGAACUUGAAGGCUAAUUUAAGCGGACUUAAUUAACCUGGGGUGUUGAGUUUCAUGAUUGAUCGAAAGAACAACUAAAAAUUGGUUUAUGUGCAAGUAUGUCAUGUGUGGAGAAGAACCUCCUAGCUAGCCUCUCAUCCAUUCAAUUUACUCAAAUUCAUGCAGAUUUCAUUAGUUCUUUAAUUUACUUAUUUUGUUUUCAAAUUUGUCAAAACCAAAACCCCUUUUACUUUAAAGUGUUUUAUUAGUCAAAAUCUGUUUUGAUUUGUGUUUUUAGGUGUCCUAAAAGUGUGUUAGAGUCCAAAUCUGCCCAGUUUGUGUUUUUAGGCAGAUUUGAGCGUUUUUACCUUGUUUUGAGUCCUUUGAGUUUGUUUUAAGUUCUUUGAGUCUAGUUUAGUGUUUUUAACUUUGUUUAUAUGUUUUUAAGUCAGUUUAGAGGUUUUAGCAAGCCCUCCUAAUCCCCGGUUUAGAACAAUCCCUACUUGCAUUUAUACUACAAUUUGACAACAAGAGGGUUUAAUUUGAGUGCUUAACUUUCAUCGCAUCCAAAUAUUUGGCACCGUUGCCGAGGAUUAGCAACUUUGCUAAUCCCCCGUUGUUUCUUUUUCAUUUUUUUUUGUUUUAGUUACUGACUUUGUUUCUAUUUGUGUCUUUUAUUUUACUUAUGAUAUCUGAUUUAGUUUUGUUUCCUUGAUUUCAAGUACUAGAGAAGUAAUACAUGGAUUUUGCUACCAUUCAAGCUCAAUUGGCAAAACUUACUUCUCAAUUGUCACAAUAUGCCGAAAGGACCACAAUGCAAAGUGUCCCUACAGAUGGUGUGUCCUAUGGGCAAGGAUAUCCAACUCAUCAAUGUUCUCAAUAUGAAGAUGCUUGGGGUUAUCAAGGCCAUAGCCAAUCAGGGGACAACAUGUUUUCCAACGCUUACAAUUUGGAUUGGAGAGAUUAUUCAGAUUACAUGUGGGGAGAACCUCAACAAUUCCAACAAGAUGUGUAUUGGCAGCAAGAAGAGGAAUUCUAUUCAAGACCUAUGCAGCCACCACAACAAUCUACCCAAUUCAAUUCAAGUACGUAUUUGGAUAAUGAUAUGUUUAAUAAGUUACUCACCUCUUUGAACCAGGAAGUAUAAAAUGGAAACAAAGAGAUGCAAAAUCAAGCCAAGAAGACGGGAGAAUUGGAGAAGCAAAUUGGACAGAUUAUGGAGUUCAUGGCAUAAAUUCAAGAGCAAAGUGAACUCUCCAACUCAACUAUUGAAAAUUUGAAGGAAGAUUUUGAAAUCCAUAAUGCUAUCACUUUGGGAAGUGCUAUGGAGGUUGGAGGUGAACCGAAAACGUCCAAACCAAGCCAAAACAUGGAUGAACAACUGCUGUUCGAAGAAGAGGAGAAUAACAAGGCCACGGCAAGGGAAGAACCACCCUUUCUGCAGCCCCAUAUGCCCUUUAUGCCGUCCACUACAACCAAGGUAAGCCUAAAUUCAAUUUGUCCUAACCCUGUUUCACCAAAUGUCCUUAUUCCUUGCAGGAUCAUGCAAUCCAAGGAAGAAGAGGGUGAGAAAGGCAUAUUCGAAACCUUUCCAAAGAAUCAAAAGCAAGAAGUGGAUGGGGAAUGUCUAGAAUUCAUCAAAGAAGAUACACUUGAGACGAAAAUUCCCAAAGAAGUUGGAUUUUAUGACACGGGAAAAGUCAUAACUCUCAAAACACCAGAUCUGGCCAAGUCCCAUAUCCUUGCAACCUUCAAAGAUGUGGUGUUCGUAAUUGAGUUUGUGUUGGAGCAAGCAAGUAAACCAUCUUCUCCAACUUCGAUUUUAUUAUAUACUAACUUGCUGAUUUUGAUGAUUCAGGCACCUACACUAGAAUUUAAACCAUUGACAGAUCACGUCAAGUAUCACCUUCCAUUCAAGGAUCAAUUCCAUGCUAUGGGCCCUAUCCAAGUUUAGAAAGAAGUUUCGUCCGGCUGGAAGACGUUAAAGCAAGCGCUUCUUGGGAGGCAACCCAUGUAUUCAAAUAAGGAAGAUUUUUGAAUUGCUUCACAAUCAGUUUUGCAUUUCUAAAAACCUUCCCUUUUCUGCAGUUUUAUUUUGCCAUGAUUGUCAUUUUUAUUUGUUGCUUGUUUAAUUGUUUUUCGUGUGGGUUUAUUUUUGAAACAUUAACAAUUAUGCAAGGUAUUUUUACAUUCAUUUUCAUGAAAAAAAAGAACAUUAAGCAGAAAAUACAAGAGGGAGCCUUCAAAAAGCCUGCUUAGGAGAAGUCUCAGUAGUCGGCGGAGCCCCAGAAGGAGGAGGCAUCGGAGGUUGAUCAUUUGGAGCUUCAUUACGCGGUAUAGCCCCAGAAGACGAAGGUAAAUGUUGUUGGAACAAACCCACAAACAUUUGAUGAUCAAGUAAAAUCUGACCAUCAGAUUCCUACAUCUGGUUAAUCUUCCUCUUCAUGUUUGUAGCAUAGUUAUGUGCGAGCUUAUGUAGCUGUUUAUUCUCAUGCUUAAGCCCUCUAAUCUCCUGUUUGAGACUCAUCACUUCAGCCGCCAAUGAUUCAACUUGACGGGUUCGAGCAAAUAGGCGUUGGGCCAUAUUAGACACAGAACCUGCGCACUGCAUAUUGAGAGCCAGAGAAUCCUUAACAGCCAACUCAUCAGACCGUUUGGCAAGUAGUCUGUUAUCUUUGGGAGUGACAAGGUUCUUAGCCAUCAUCGCAGCUGUCAUAUCAUUCUUCAUCACCGAAUCCCUAACGGUAAGGGGACCAGUAGGGGAUAUGAAGGAUGGGCGCCAUAUGUUGUCUGGAGAAGGCGGGACUGCCUCUUCACCAAGGUUUAAGUCAAACCAACGGUCGGAGGGGCCAGACAUUUUCAGAGGUGUUAAAGAAAGAAGAGGUCAGACAAGUCAAGAUCGUCGAAGUGCAAGAAGGGAGUUUCUACAGGCAGAAAUUCAAGUGUGCUUUGAACGUCCUGCGUACCUCUAUAAAAAUGAGCACUUGAUGGGAUUUCAGAGAUUGAAGAGGCGAGCUCAGAAAUCGAAGAGGCCAACUCAAAAAUCAAAGAGGCACUAGCUUUCUCAAAAGCUGGGCUUGCUCAGAAACCACGACCAAUCUUCUUUUCCAGAUUUGUCCAGAUUUGUCACAUGCAACCUCUGCACUCGACGGGAUUUCAGAAAUCGAAGAGGUAAGCUCAGAAAUCAGAGAGGCAUCUGCUUUUCCAGACGUGUCAGCAUCUGUCACAUGCAGAGUCAGCUUUACAAAAAUCACGGGCAGUUUUUCGAAGCGCCGAUUCCAGAUCUCGGAGAGGCAUCUGCUUUUCCAGAUGUGUCAGCAUCUGUCACAUGCAGAGUCAGCUUUGCAGAAAUCAUGGGCAGUUUGUCGAAGCGCUUUUCCAGACGUGUCAGCAUCUGUCAUAUGCAGAGUUAGCUUUGCGGAAAUCACGGGCAGUUUGUCGAAGCAUCGAUUCCAAAUAUCGAAGAGGCACUUGUUUUUCCAGACAUGUCAGCACUUGUCACAUGCACACUCAGCCUUGCGAAAAUUACGGGCAAUCUGUCGAAGAUCUCUUAUGAAGUAGAAAGCACGUGAAGUUUACUAUUAAAUCAUCCAACGGUUGCUGGCAAUAGUGAAACAAUAGUACCGGUUAUUAAUUCAUAUAAAUGUCACCCUUCACCUUUCAUUGCAAGGCAUGCAUACAUAACCCUUCUUCUUCUCCAAGAAUGCCUUUCCAAUAAACCCUCUCAAGUCACUCAGUGUUCCUUAUUCCUUGGGGUACCUCUUCAAACAACUCAUCCAAAGCAAAAGUAUUUCAUAUCAUGAAGGUUGAAAGCAAAAGUAUCUCAUAUCAUGCUUUCUCCUUGUCAUUCUUCUUGUCGUUGUUUUGGGACAAGGAGAAAGAGAGCAAUCAGCUAGCACUUGGUAUCAAUCUUCCGAUUUGGAACCAACUGCCUGGAACCCCUUCCUGAUUGCUUACCUAGCCUUGCUCUCAAGUACUCAUCUUCAUCAUUUUAUGCUUCCUCUUCGUCUACCACAUCUGCCUGGGGAACAGAUAAGGGAAGUGAAAAUGAUACCUCGAAGCAUGUGGAGACAAUUUGCCAAUUCAUCCUCAGCUAGGGACAAGGAGAAAGAAAGCAAGAGGUGGGCACUUGGAAAGAUUGAAGAAAGAAACAGACCAACACCUUGACCUCGUGCCUGCCUGCCGUGCAGAAGAAACAAGCAGAGAAGAAUGCAGACUGCACAAUCAAAUCAACCCAGCAGAAGGAGUCUGAUUUGAAACCAAGGAACUCUGAUAUUCCUCACUCAGAAUUCCAAACCAGUUCGAGAUCAAAGCUGUGGAAAGUCAACAAGAUCAUCUAUCUCCAAAACCAGAUUUGCGUUCUUAAACUCUACUUUGUCUGUUUUUUUUUUACUUUGCUAUACUUGUCAUGUUUAUUCAUUGUUUGUUUAUUUGCUUGUUUUUGUGUGAGUUUAUGCUUGAAACAUUGAGGACAAUGUUUGAUUUAAGUGUGGGGGGGGGGGUAACCAUUGUUUUGCAUGAAAUUCGUAGGAGUUUAUCACCCAUUACUUCUAGUGUUGUUCCUUGCUGUUUUUAAGUGUUUUUAAGCUGUUUUGGAGUGUUUUAGUGUGUUUUGACAUAAAAAUCCGAAAAUCUCAUAAAAAUUUGAAAAAUUGUUUUGAAAACCCAAAAAUAGUUGUUUUUGUAUGUUUAUUUGUGUCUUAGGGUACCUUCCAACACAAUGAUGAGGAUUUGGUUUUUAAUUACAUGACUGUUAAAGAGAGUUAUAAACAUGGAUGAAAAUUUGAUUUACUCUUUGGUGUAUGCUUGGUUGUGGUUAUAAUUUAUGAAUUCACAUGCAAUCAUAAAGGAAAAAUCAGUUUUGUAACAUGCUUGAAAGAAGGAACUCAAAUGUACGCUACAACCUUGUGAGACUUGAGCCUAAAUGUUUAUUUGGAGAGUUAAUAUUCUGUGCAUCAUUGUUUUCUAAAGUCGUUGCAUGAUCUCAUUAUUCUUUACUUGGUUGCUACUUAGAAGACGUUUCAUCAUUUAGUUCCAAAUGCUAGAACUCAUGCCUAUUUCAUUCAAAGCAUGUUAUUGAUUUGCAUAACACAUAUUCAAGAUGAAGUUGUUUAGUGAGCCAAGAGCCAAAAAGCCUAUCUCGUUCAUUAUGUGUUUAAGUUUAAUCCCAUUGAGCCUUGUGUAGCCUAUGUUCUUUGUUACCCACACUAUCCUCACCUAGCCUAGAUUAGGACCAUUCAUACCCUUGUUCUUGAAGCAUAGUAAAGCAUAGUUUAGAAAGAAUUCCUUUUGUUGAACUCUUGCAGAAAAACAAGUGUGGGGGAAGUGAUUCUUGUGUGUGUGUGUAUGCCAAAGUCCUUCAUAAGGCACGGGUAGAAAAGAAAAAGAAAAAGAAAAAUUCGUGGAAAAUGAAAUGAAAAGAAAAGAAGUUGUGAAAAGAGUUGAAAAAUAUAUGAGAAAGAACUCUAAAGUGUUGUUUGUUGAAGAAAUGGUCCAAAGCAUUGAAUUCGACCCUAAGUGUUGCAUGAAUCUUCCCUUUGUGUUUAAAAGUUGAUUUUUGCAUUCUAAAGUAAAUUCCAAGUGUUGAUUCCAUUACUUUGCUUGCUAUUGCUUAAGAACGUUUGUUAUCCCUAUCCUUUCUUUGUUAGCCAUUACCCCCAAGUCCCAUUACAACCCUUAACUUCAUCUUGAGUGUUAUGUGUUUCAAUAUGUGGAAUUUGGAAUUGGUAUGAGCAUAUGGUGUCACCGAUUCUCGCAUCUAAGUAGUAGCGUUCCAUUCAUGAGAUCAUAUCUAAACAUGCUGAAUAACUCCAGAAAAUUGCCCUCUUUGUUAUACAUAUAUGUGAGUGUUCCUUUUCAUGUUUACAUCAAUCUUCUCACAUAUAACUAGUGUAGGGUGUGUAGUUAGAAAAUGUGUGUGAAAAUAGAUAGUAUCUUGUAAGGAAUUGAGUAAAUUCUCUAAGGAAUGUUACUACAUUCAAAACAUCGUUUUAAUUGGUUAAUUGUGAACUAGUAAGUGGUGACUAUAAGUAUGUGCUCAAGUGUAAGGAUGACCAAAAUCUGUGGGAAUGAUGAUUUUUAACAUGUCAUAUUUCAUUAAAAACCCCUGAGGCAAUUGUUGGAAGGUCUAGGUUGUGUUUUGUUUUGUUUUGCUCGAUGACUAGUAAAAGCUAAGUGUGGGGGAAUUUGAUAGGAGCAUAUUUAUGCGACUUAGUUAGCUUGUUUCUUGGCAUUUAUGUUGUUAGUUCGUAGUUAUUUUAGUAUUUUAAGCUAUUUUCGUGUGUUUGUAGGUCCAAAGGGUUAAUGUGGCAAAGAAGUGCAUUUUGGAGCAUUUUUGGGCAUGGAAUGGAUAGCAUAUGCUUGGAGCAAAGGAAAUGGACGAAAUUUGAAGUUUGUGCAUCAUCCUCUCCCUAUAAAUAACCAUUUUAGCACACUCAUUUCACCCAACACAUUCACCUACCACUACAUCCACUCAUUACAACCACCUAACACAUUCACCUACCACUACAUCCACUCAUUUCACCCAACACAUUCAUUCACCUACCACUACAUACCACUACAUCCACUCAUUACAACCACCCAACACAUUCACCUACCACUACAUCCACUCAUUUCACCCAACACAUUCAUUCACCUACCACUACAUACCACUACAUCCACUCAUUACAACCACCCAACACAUUCACCUACCACUACAUCCACUCAUUUCAACCACCCAACAACACUCACCCACUACACCCAUUACAUCCACUCAUUACAACUCCAUACACUCAUCUCCCUAGCCUAUAUAUACAUCCACCCUUCACCAUAACUAGAGAUCCAUUCAAAAAGACCUUACAUUCAUCCAUAUAUUCCCACAUCCCACAAACACAUACAAUUCCAUUCCCUUACCGUGGCACUCAUCCAACCAAAAAUAGAACACAAUCCACCCAUCCACCCUUCACCAUAACUCACCUAUAUCCAUCCACCACCAUAAUUUACCACUCAUCCAUCAAACCACACCUUGUGCCGCAACAAAGGGAAGAAGGAGAACCCUUGGACGUGCUUGCCAUUCAAGUUGGAUUGUUGGAGCGUUUUUAGGUGUUUUCAUUCUUUUGUUUUCAAGUCUAAAUUUGUUUAUCUUUGCUUUGUGAGUAUGAGGAACUAAACCCCCCUUAACUAGGGGGGAAUUCGAUACCAUGUUUAUGCUUGCAAUAUGAUUUGAUUGCCUUCAAUUGUGAUUUCAUAAGUUGUGAAUUAAAUUUGUUUAACUGCUUGAUUGAUAACUUAUUCGUGUAUGUUUAUUAAGAGUGGACACUUAGUUUGCAUGCAUGAAUAUGAUGCUAGAGUAUAAGGAAGUUUCACCUAAUAGUUACAAACUUAUAUUCACAAAUAGUGGAGGUCGCUUAUAAACGAUCGCGUUAAAUAAAUUCUUGGCAGGAGUUUCAUGUCCAUCAUAGUAACGAAUGCCUCGUCAAUACUUAUAGUUUUCAUGAUGUUUAAUGAUCUUUGAUUGUAUCUUUAUUGUGCUGUUCACGUAAAGAACUUUUGAAGAAUGCUUGAAUUGUUGUAUGCGCUUUCCCAUCCAAUUCAAUAACUUAAGGAGAACUUGAAGGUUAAUUUAAGCGGACUUAAUUAACCUGGGGUGUUGAGUUUCAUGAUUGAUCGAAAGAACAACUGAAAAUUGGUUUGUGUGCAAGUAUGUCAUGUGUAGAGAAGAACCUCCUAGCUAGCCUUCCAUCCAUUCAAUUUACUCAAAUUCGUGCAGAUUUCAUUAGUUCUUUAAUUUAUUUGUUUUGUUUUCAAAUUCGUCAAAACCAAAACCCCCUUUACUUUAAAGUGUUUUAUUAGUCAAAAUCUGUUUUGAUUUGUGUUUUUAGGUGUCCCAAAAGUGUGUUAGAGUCCAAAUCUGCCCAGUUUGUGUUUUUAGGCAGAUUUGAGCGUUUUUAGCUUAUUUUGAGUCCUUUGAGUUUGUUUUAAGUUCUUUGAGUCUAAUUUAGUGUUUUUAACUUUGUUUAUAUGUUUUUAAGUCAGUUUAGAGGUUUUAGCAAGCCCUCAUAAUCCCCGGUUUAGAACGAUCCCUACUUGCAUUUAUACUACAAUUUGACAACAAGAGGGUUUAAUUUGCGUGUUAAGUUAAUUUUCGCAUCAACCAAAAGCCUCAUGCGCCCACGAUGAAUGAGGGGGGGGAGGGACUUCGACCGAAGAACCUUCGAUGUUAAAGUUAGAAUUUAGAGAGAAAGUAUUUGAGAAUUUUAGCAAGAGAGUUGAAAGUAGUUUUUGGAGAGAAUGGAGAGCUAUUUAUAGGGAUAUGGUUGGCCCUAUUAGGAGAAUAGGGAACGGCUAUUUGGGGUAUUUUUUUGGGUGUAAUUUGUGGUUAAUUAGCCAUUAAUAGAUUAAUUAGGUAAUAAAUCCAUUAAUGGACUAAUUAACAUCAUUUGAAAGAAAUAAUUUGGGAGUUAUGGAAUAAUUAUCUAAUCAAUUAGCUAAUUAAUAGAACAAUUACCUAAUUGAUUAGCAAAUCAAUACAAUAAAAAGGGGAAGAUUUGGUGAGUUACCUUGUGGAGAGGAUUGGAUGAGGAUGGAUGAGAUAGGUUUUAAAUGGUUUACCUAUUUUGGGCAUUUUUGACUUGGUUGAGUGAUGAUUGCAUGCUGCUCGCGUGUAGGAAUCUUGGUAUGCCUCGAGGAUAAUUUUGUCUUUUUAUCAAAAAAUCCAUGUGUCGCCUAGUGAUUAUUUUUGGCUCCACAACAAGUUAAUUAUAUUUAUCUACCUAUAUGACAGAUUAUUUUUUAUAAUCAACCUAUCACAUGCAAAUUAAUGUGUCUUACUUGUCUGUAUAUUAUGUUUUUCUACCUUUCAGUUAGGUUUCAUAUCUUGCUUCUAGGUAUAACAUACAUUCAUAUAUUUGUCACUGGAGUUAGUGUAGAAUGUUUUGCAGAUAGAUUUAUGUUAGUAUAUUAGUUUUUUUUGUUAUCAGAUAUUAAUUAGAUUUUUUGGAGUUGGAAAAUGCAUAAUAUUAGAAGAUUUUAAUUGAUUUUUAAUAUUUUUAGAAAAUAUAAAAUGAGUAUAAAAGAAUAAAACCAUGUAAUUAAAUAACUGGACUCACUCCUAAACACCAUCUAUGUUUUUGGACUUGGAUCUAAAAGUCCCUAAAUCUUAUAUAUCGUUCAGCAAACCUAGUUAAGGGAUUGGAAGAGACAAUUAAAAGGCCAUCAUAUUACAAGUAUACUAAAGCUCAGCUUAAAAACAUUGUGGUCUUCAUCAAUGGUGCUUUGAUCAUUUUGUCCCUGUUUCAAUCUUUCAUUUCUUUUUCAAUUUUCAUCAUGUAAAGUAAAAUUAAUAAAAUGCCCUUGUGGGACACAUUUGGGUUACGUGGACGCAAAAUCUUGUCCAGUACGUCUGAUGUUCUUCCCUUUUUUCAACAACUCUCACCUUCUGUGACCAAAACCAACAAUUCAAUCCCCUUCUGAUUUGAUGAAAACUCUCGCAAGAGGUCUAGAACCUCUCCGGCCUUUCUCGAACUCUCUCUGUCGCACAAAGGAUUAGUUUUUUUUUCUUUCCAUUUUUUUAAUUUUUUGGUCAUUUUUCGAUUGAAACCCUUACUAUUGUGAUAUCGAAGAAAUCCUAGCUCUUUGUCCCGUCUCUUCUAGUUAAGAAAAAGUGAAAAUUUUCAGAAUAUCGAAAUUGAUUUCGAAAAUUGGAGAAUUACGUUAAGGUUUCAAAUAAGGAGGUGCGGAUUCAAACCCUAAUUCAUGAUUUGUGUUCGUGAUCUUUGCGUUUCAUUCAAGGAGCUGAUGUUUCAUCGUAU